UUGUUCGGAUUUAUUGGGCGUAAAGGGCGCGUAGGCGGUUUGCUAAGUUGGAUGUGAAAACUCUGGGCUUAACCCAGAGCCUGCAUCCAAAACUGGCAAACUUGAGUACUGGAGGGGAAAGCGGAAUUCCUGGUGCAGCGGUGAAAUGCGUAGAUAUCAGGAGGAACACCGGUGGCGAAGGCGGCUUGCUGGACAGUAACUGACGCUGAGGCGCGAAAGCUAGGGGAGCAAACAGG
rnacentral:rRNA from 1 species